CUGCAGAGGCUGGCCAUCUCUAGGUCCUCAUAUGACAGGGACUUCUUUCUAGCUGGACCUAAGUGCAUGCUGAAAGGCCUGCCCUCAGGACAAAAUCUGUCCCUGCCUCCCUACAGAAGGCCUGUCUCUAAACACUAUCACACAGGUGUGAGGGUCUUGCUGUUUCAAUCUGGGAAAGAUACCAGCAUGCAUUUCUUUGAGCUGCAGGUGGCAAAAGAAUCCUGAAAGGCAUGUCUUCAUUCUCCUGCUCUGCCUUUGCAAUGACUAUUUCAGUGUGGAAGCAGUUUGCAAAUCAGGGUGCUGCCCAGGUGGCAAGGGCAUUGCUUCUGAGAGUUUGCUGAAUCUCAUGCCAAGGACAGCCUUUUGUGACCUCAGAGGAGCUAGUAACAACCUGGUGGCUCUUCUUGGGACAACAGAAGAAAAUGAAAACUGUGAAGACAAUUUUACCCCAUGACCUGCAGUAGUUUUUGACUCAGUGGAUCAAAGAGGCCAAUAUUUACUUAUACAGAAGUCUAAGCCAGUAUGAUGUGUCAGAGGCCUUUGCGGGUGAGUAUCUCAGAUCAUUUCAGGCUUUUAAGAAGGAGGUUGUUGAGGAAGAAGCCAUAAAUAGUCCUGCCCAGCUGGGAUGCCUAUGAACCACAACAAUGACCAGCAUGGCAAGAUAUCCAGUUUGUCAGAGAGCUCCAGAAACAUAGCUCUUCUAAGCUGAGGCCAGUGUUGCGGCAGGCAUGGGGUGGUGGGGUUCAAGCUGCCCUUGAGUCAAUCUUCUUAUAAGUGAUCCUGCACCAAUAUCCCAGAUGUAACUGUCUGUUAAAUAAGAAACACAGAGCCAAAUACAGAGUUAAAAGCCAAGAGGUCAGACCAAUAGCUAAGAGCUGAGAU